rnacentral:misc_RNA from 1 species
GAUGAAGAACGUAGCGAAAUGCGAUAAGUAAUGUGAAUUGCAGAAUUCAGCGAAUCAUCGAAUCUUUGAACGCACAUUGCGCCCGGUAGUAUUCUGCCGGGCAUGCCUGUUCGAGCGUCAUUUCAACCAUCAAGCCCCAGCGCUUGUGUUGGGGGCCUGCGGCUGCCGCAGCCCCCUAAAAGCAGUGGCGGGCUCGCUAUCACACCGAGUGCAGUAGUUCAUCUUCUCUCCGGUCUUGUGAGGCGGGUUCCGGCCGUGAAACACCCCACUACAUUCAAGGUUGACCUCGGAUCAGGUAGGAAUACCCGCUGAACUUAAGCAUAUCAAUAAGCGGAGGA